CAGCACCACUGCCAGGCGAAGGACAGACACUGCAAAUUAAAAUAUUCCUAAUGUGGAGUGGAAGACAAUGCCUGCAUUUAUGGUUAACUAUAAGUGAUACACUAGGAAGAUGAUGGUAUUCAGACACACACAAACAAUUUGAUUCAGACAGAUUGGAUACAAGAUUUCAACCAGCAUAAGGAGAACAGGUAUGUUUGCAAAGAAAAUCUGCUGACCCUGACUUGUAACUUAGGUUUUUGUUGUUGUUGAUUUCCAUGCUAUUUACAGCCAAAUGAUGGGGUCAAAGCUUCCUAACAGCAUGGCCAACAGAUGUAGCACAGAGAUGACAACUGGAGGUUUCAGUGCUCUUUUGUUACCUGAGCACUGACUGAUGGUUGAGAUGCUGGAAGUCUGAAUGUCAAAGGGCACCAGAAGGCUCUUACAGUCUUUGAAGCCCAAAUCUACUUGGGAGAGAAAAGGCCAAAAAAAAUAUAUAUAUAUAUGCUUUUUGCUUACCUUUAUGUAGAAGUGAAACGAGCAGUUUGCUGGAGAUUCAUACUCUAGAAAAGAGGCCCCUUAUGUGCUCUGAGGAAUUUAAUGGAGUUUUCUCAUCAACUUUUUGAUGGAAAGCAAGCUUUGAAAGUUGUAUAUAUUUAAUGUUUGGAGAUUUGGUGGUUUUAUCUAAAAAGUUAAACUAGGUAUUGAUAGAAAAGAAAAUUUCUGAGUUCAGAACAAAACCAGCCCCUCUGUGUGCUUACAGAAAGUUUUCUCCAUUGACUUUGUUUAAACUUGCUUUGGGUGUGAGAGCUUAGAGACCUCUUUAGGUCAGAAAAAUGAUUGCUAAUACACCAAGUGUUCUUCCUUUUCUCCACUACUAGCUGUAAUUAAAACAAUUAUUGAAAAUGUUUCAAAUCUAUGUAGUCCUUAGUUAACUUUUAAAAUUUGUAUUUGAAGAAGAGCAGUACAAUUAGUUUGUAUCUUGCUCAGAAAAGUGCUAAUGACUUGAGAAUGGACAUUACUGCAUUGCCAACAAAAAGAAUGUGAUUAAUAUUACACUUGAAUUUAUACAGAGUUAUUCAGUUAACUAUUUUAUAUUGGAAAUUAAUUUCCAUAUCUCAGAGGUGUCUACAGACUCAUGAAUACUGUGUUCCCAGUACACAGUCAGAUAUGUCUUCCACUUAAUAUACAUGGCACUUAGAGAAAAAAAAAACUUUAGAAGGAGGUAAAGUGAGGCUUGCCAGGAUAACUGAGUGAUACAAAUAGUAAGUCUGUAUUCUACAGAUUAUCCAUUAUGUAAAUUUAAAAAGUGUUAGGGAUCAUUAUUUUGAAGAAAAAGAAAUAAGAAAAAAAUUACAGUUUUGUCUUUCUAGAAAGAAAAGUUCCUUUGGAAACUCAGAGCAAUAGAAACUUACAAAAAAGCAUGUUUUUAUUUUGAAACAUUUCUUUCCAUAUCUUUGUUUCUUUAAUACUUCAGAACUGACUUUACAAAUCUUAUCAUUCAGGCAGUCUUGGAACAAGACUUUAGUUUUACAACAAGCUUCUUGGUAAUUCGUUCUUUUUCGUCCUUUAACAAUAGCCCUUAAACAUCAUUACAAAUCAAUAUACUAUGUCAGUUUAAAGUGAAUAAUUCAGAUUGGAUAGCAGAGAUGAAAAGUAUAAAUUAUGAACUGUGUAUAUAACAGAUGAGUACAUGGGAUCGAAAUAUAUAAUAUAUAAUAUAUAUUAUAUCCAGCUGCUAAUUGGAGAAAUAUUUAUGAAAACACACCUAUUCCAUUAAAGACUUGUGAGAAGUACAAAUUCAUUGAUAAAAGGGGUGUGUUGACAAGAAAGCACAGAGUAUACUGCAGAAAUAGCCAAAGUUCUAUUUACAGGUGCAAUAGUUAUAAUGGUUCCCUAAUAGCUGAGUUCAUGCCUGCAGAAUAUGCAGACAAGUUGGAGGUGUCCAUUCAGAAGUAACUGCUGCACUGACAAAUUCAUUUUUCCCCAAGCGUACAUGUGCUUUAUUUAUAUAUUGUUUUUACCACCUCCUAAUCUCAUGGCUCCUCCCCUUCAUUAUUUUGGUUUGGUCUGGAAUUGUGGAUCUCGCUGAGAUGAAAAUGAGAUGUGAUAACUGGCAGUGCAGAAAAUACUGAACAACUUGGAUCCCAGUGAGAAUGAACAGACCUGAUUUACAAGAUUCUGAUACUUGCUGCUCAUGGCCUUUUUAAAGUACUUUCUAUAAAAUCCUGUGCAGAUGAAAGAUUUUUUCCAUGAAGACAAAGUUCAAAAUACAACAAAAUUCAAAUGUGAUUAUCUGAUGUUUAUUGUAAUAGAAGGGGCAACAUUUACCUGAAUCUCUAUUCCUUGAGCAUCCAAAUCUUCCACUGCAGUGGAAGACUGCAAGAUCAGGCCCUGAGCCAACAUGAAGUAACAUUUUUACAAGCAAAUAAGGAAGCCAAUGUAACUCUCGACUGUGUGAUAACAUUCAGGAGAUCACGGCAUUUUUCAGUCUUACCCAGCUCUUAUAAAUUAACGUGGAACCAAUGUCUCCAUUUAACCAAAGCUCUAUGCGCAGAAAGGGAGAAACCUACAGGGUUCAUGUGGCAGAAACUCCACUGAAGAUUAUGUUGAGAUUUGACUGCCUUAUACUGCAGGAAUCCCAGAGAAAAAAGCAGCUCCAUAAAAACCACAUCAACAUCUUCAUUCAUUCUUUGUUUGUUAAUCAGAUGGAGAAACUUGGGAACAGAGAAGUUACGUGACUUGUCCGUGGGCACGCAGUCUAUUGCAGAGUUGGGUGAAGCUCUCAGGUCCCUAUGAAAUGUCAUCCAUGAAGUUUGGAUUCAAAAGCGUCCAGAUGGAAAUGGCGUGAUUUAAACAUGUAUGUCUAACACUUAGGGAGCAGAGAGAAGGAGAAAGGAUCUCAGGGCAAGUCUACACUACAAACACUGCAUCAGCAUCAUCUUAAUUACUCCACCCCUGCGAGAGGUAGUAGCUAUGUCUUUACUAGACCCGCUAAAUCAAUCCCUG